rnacentral:rRNA from 1 species
CCUACGGGAGGCAGCAGUGAGGAAUAUUGGUCAAUGGGCGCGAGCCUGAACCAGCCACGUAGCGUGAAGGAUGACUGCCCUACGGGUUGUAAACUUCUUUUAUAAAGGAAUAAAGUGAGUCACGUGUGCCUUUUUGUAUGUACUUUAUGAAUAAGGAUCGGCUAACUCCGUGCCAGCAGCCGCGGUACUACGGAGGAUCCGAGCGUUAUCCGGAUUUAUUGGGUUUAAAGGGAGCGUAGAUGGGUUGUUAAGUCAGUUGUGAAAGUUUGCGGCUCAACCGGAAAAUUGCAAUUGAUACUGGCAGCCUGGAGUACAGUUGAGGUAGGCGGAAUUCGUGGUGUAGCGGUGAAAUGCUUAGAUAGCACGAAGAACUCCGAUUGCGAAGGCAGCCUACUAAACUGCCACUGACAUUGAUGCGCGAAAGCGUGGGGAGCAAACAGGAUUAGAUACCCUUGUAGUC